rnacentral:rRNA from 1 species
GGCUUAACACAUGCAAGUCGAGGGGUAACAGGGAAGCUUGCUUUUGACGACCGGCGCACGGGUGCGUAACGCGUAUACAAUCUACCUUAUACUGGAGAAUAGCCCUAAGAAAUUGGGAUUAAUACUCCAUAGUAUUUAGAAACCACCUGGUUUUUAAAUUAAAGUUUCGGCGGUAUAAGAUGAGUAUGCGUCCUAUUAGUUAGUUGGUGAGGUAACGGCUCACCAAGACAGCGAUAGGUAGGGGGCCUGAGAGGGUUAUCCCCCACACUGGUACUGAGACACGGACCAGACUCCUACGGGAGGCAGCAGUGAGGAAUAUUGGUCAAUGGAGGCAACUCUGAACCAGCCAUGCCGCGUGAAGGAAGAAUGUCCUAUGGAUUGUAAACUUCUUUUAUUUGGGAAGAAACCCUUCUACGUGUAGAAGGCUGACGGUACCAAAGGAAUAAGGACCGGCUAACUCCGUGCCAGCAGCCGCGGUAAUACGGAGGGUCCAAGCGUUAUCCGGAAUCAUUGGGUUUAAAGGGUUCGCAGGCGGUUUAAUAAGUCAGUGGUGAAAUCCCGUAGCUCAACUAUGGAACUGCCAUUGAUACUGUUAGACUUGAAUACAGUUGGAGUAGGCGGAAUGUGUAGUGUAGCGGUGAAAUGCUUAGAUAUUACACAGAACACCGAUAGCGAAGGCAGCUUACUAACUGUGAUUGACGCUCAUGAACGAAGGCGUGGGGAGCGAACAGGAUUAGAUACCCUGGUAGUCCACGCCGUAAACUAUGAUUACUCGAUAUUGGCGAUAUACGGUCAGUGUCUAAGCGAAAGUGAUAAGUAAUCCACCUGGGGAGUACGGUCGCAAGAUUGAAACUCAAAGGAAUUGACGGGGGCCCGCACAAGC